GAACUGCUGAAGAGUCCCAUACUAGGACGAAACGGUCGUCCAGUGC
rnacentral:hammerhead_ribozyme from 1 species